UGUGAAAUGAACUUACCUACUGUAACACUUCAGUAAAGGUACGAAUAGGGUCGCCAUUUAAACGUUACGAACGGGAGCGGGCUGGAGUCAUUCAGAGCGUGUGUGAACAUUUGCAGCCUAUUGUGACAAACAAAUCCACGUACACGAGCCCUCACCACAUCAUAUUUUAAGAGGGCGAUGGGACUAUCAAAGGGGCCAUCAUCAUGGUCAGUGGAAGAAGUGCUGGAGUGGAUUCAGGAACAGUAUCCGACUAAGAUGACCCUACUCCACAAAGCCGUAAUCAAACAUGACAUAACAGGCCGUGUGUUGCUGAGACUAAAGGACUAUCAGCUGAAGCUUCUUGGGGUGGAAGAUGAGAAGCAGCAGCAGGAAAUUUUGCAGGACCUCCUUCUUCUCAAAGUUCAGGAAGAAAUCAGUGAACUUAGUGACAUCUGCUCUGAGUUUCUUUCUCCAUGAAUCACAGUGAAAAUCUUCAGAAAGCCAAAGAAAAAAACAGAACCAUGGCUGACUUUUUGUUAUUUUUUUGAAUUUCCCAACCAUCCAUUCAUCCACAUGAAGGAGACAGAAAGGUGGAAUUGAUGGAAAUAACAAGAAGUGAAUAGAAAGAAGGAUCGAUGAGGAAUGAAGAGAGAAGGAAACCCAUUUCCGGUGUGAAAUCUGACCUGUGCAGAUGGAUGAGAUUAGUUUCUGUCUGAGUGGCUUUUUCUGAUCCUACUGUCCAUUAAUCUCCGUGUUUUUUCUGUCCCUGCACUGGGUUUGCCAACCAUGGCAUUAUAAAACAUACGAACAAAACUUUUUAUGGACCAAAUAUGCAGUCGCAGUAUGUGUAGAGGUUUAGGAUAUAAGCCAAUCAGCAGAUCAUUUAAAGCCAAAAUGAAACAAUCUGCUCACCGAUUUUCCCAGGGGAUGCAUUCUGCUGAGUUUGUUGGUUUAAAUUUGUGUUUUUGACUGCAGUUUUUCAGGAAAUUUAAGUGGAUUUAUGAGAGAUUUUUUACUUACCUUCUUGACCCCGUGACAAAUAUCAAAUCCUACACACAUUUUCAUCCUACUAGUAUUGUAAUAGGUAGCUUGCUCUCAAAAUAGGAACAGAUUGUAUUUUAAUAACAGAUACUGCUUAUCCUCAGUAUUUCCUGGGUGGAAAGGUUAAACAUUUCACACGUCUGAUCAGAAGAGCUGAGUGAAAGCUGUAAAACUUUGUCAUGUUGUUUGCUUUUCUCUCUGACUAAAAUUGCUUUUCACAAACCAGAUGUUGGUGUGCUGCUGUUUCCUUUCAAGUUCAUUGUUUUUUGAAGUGAACUGUCAGUUUGUCUGGAUUUGAUUGUGAUGAUGCAGUUUCAUUAAAUCUGUUUCAAGCGA